AUACGUAGGUGACAAGCGUUAUCCGGAUUUACUGGGCGUAAAGGGCGUGUAGGCGGUCUUGCAAGUCAGAAGUGAAAUUCCCGAGCUCAACUCGGGCGCUGCUUCUGAAACUGCUUUACUUGAGUGCUGGAGAGGAUAGUGGAAUUCCUAGUGUAGCGGUAAAAUGCGCAGAUAUUAGGAGGAACACCGGUGGCGAAGGCGGCUAUCUGGACAGUAACUGACGCUGAGGCGCGAAAGCACGGGGAGCAAACAGGAUUAGAUACCCUGGUAGUCCGUGCCGUAAACGAUGAAUACUAGGUGUAGGGGGUAUCGACUCCCUCUGUGCCGCAGUUAACACAAUAAGUAUUCCGCCUGGGGAGUACGGCCGCAAGGUUGAAACUCAAAGGAAUUGACGGGG
rnacentral:rRNA from 1 species